AUUUUGCUCGUUAGCUCUAUUUUACUAUUAUAGAAAUCGAGCAAUUCGAUAGCACCGAGCGAGUGAUAACUAUCGAUGCAUGUGUCAGAACUUUUCGAGUUGUUUGGUUCACUUGUUGCAUAUCUUCAGAGAAUUAUUUUGUUUUGGCUUGUAUCCCUUUGGGAAACAUUUCAGAAACGCUUCAAUAUAUGCAAUUUGCAACACAUGUUCGUUUGUUUUGAUCAGCAUUUGUUUUACGGUGCUGCCAGAAUAGUCUAUACAAGCGCAUAUUUCAGUGGCUGAAAAUGCGUGGUGGAAGAAAAAAAACCAAAUCACCACCAGUUUGAACGGCUCCUUGAAACAAUGGAAGCGAACGUAGACAUUGCUCGAGAUCUUUGUGGAGGCAGUUCUAAUAUAAUCCCAGUGUAGGAAAAGUUGGAGGAAUCCAGAGAGGAACUUAGUGCACUGAGACCACCAAUGCAUCUAGGUUCAGAAUGGCAGAAAAUUUGGAUUGACAUGAGGGGAAAGGUAAAGAAAACACUAGCACACAACAAGCGAGAAUUUAGAGCAAUAGGUGAUGGCCCCAAUACAAUAAAGCUAUCGACGCCGCUACAACAAGAAAUCGACGCUAAAAGAGGAUUACAUGUUGCAUUACAUGAAUAACAAAAAUUGUUUUGCUAAAAGAAAAGUGAAAUUCAUGCAUGACUCUUCACGGAAUUCCAUAGAUUUUCUAAUAAUUAUAUUUUUUGUACAGCAAAUUGUUCCACGCUGUCGUUUUUAUUACACAUGCAUGCGUGCCUUACGCCUAUUAAGCUUUAUUCUUUGAGGGAAUAUCAAUUUACUCCAAAACAUAACCAUAUUAACACUUUUGGAAAUACAUUUUCAUAGCAGAUGCCUCAAAAAAAGAUUUGGCAUCCUUUUUAUAGUG